GAAAUGGAUGGAGAGAGAGAAUACAAAUGGACACCGUAUUUCUGUGACCCUGUUGCAGAAGCAAAGGAUCUAUUAGUAUCAUACGUUUGCCAAAUAGACCCUGAUACAUGGCCAGUCGAAAUAAGUUGUCCCACUGGCUUUCGAGGCACAACAGACACAAUGUGCUACAAGCUCCUCACUACAAGAAUGUCGGCAAUAGACGCACUGGCUGCUUGUAGGAGUGAGGCAGGAUUGGCCACGGACCCCGCCAAGCCAAAGACUCAGCAACAACACGACAUGCUGAAGACCAUAGUCCGCGGCUAUAUAUCGCCAUGCAUCGGCGUAUCUGAUACAAUUGAAGAGGGAACCUGGGCAUACGCU